GCAAAGGUUUUAUUCAAAACCAACAAUAGGCACAUGUAAAAAAAAU
rfam:Anolis carolinensis chromosome 6, whole genome shotgun sequence.